rnacentral:lncRNA from 1 species
UUUUACCAUUUUUCACUUCCAAAGUUUUUUUUUACUGGAAGUAUAAAAUACCCUAAAGCGUGCUAAAUAAUUUUCUCCUGCAGUGUUACAUAGCUCUAUGAUUUUAAAUCUUUUAAUUAAAAACUUUAUUUUUUUAUCCCUUAAAAAAUAUAUUCAAUCCUUUUAUUUUGUUAAUUUUUAAUCUCUUACUUUAUUUCUCAACGUCUAUAAAUCUCUUAAAUGAUCUUGUAUAAAAACUGUUGUCAUAUUUGGACUGGAUCUUUUAAUGAUGCUCUAUUUCUGUGAAUUUAGUUACCUAGCUGCCAAGUUUUAACAUCUGUUGUCAUAAGGUUGCAUCUUAUUUUUCUUCAAAUACUGUUAUGGUUGCUGCUUUUUAUUCUUGUUUCAUCAACCAAAACUUAAUCUUGAGUGACUCGACAUAGAGCAAAGUUGCAUACUUUUGUUUUUUUUUUCUGUUUUUUGAUGUUUAAAAAACAUUUGAUUAUCUAGUUAUUGUCUUUGAACAUAAAUUCUUUAGAGUUCUUUUCCAUUUUCAUGCUUUUUUGAUUUAUACAGUUUUUAGGUAAGUUUUUUUGUCAAAUGUAUUCUUGCUUUUUGUUAAGUUCAAAUGUUAGAAGUGAUUUUGUUAAAUUAUAUAUAUUUUUGUGUGUGUAUAUUUAUCUAUAUUAUAACACAUAAAGAUAAUAUGUUUGAUUUUUUUUGUGCAAAACUAAGAAAAAAAUGAAGAAUAAUAAGAAAAACUAAUUGCUGCCCCAACCAAAAUAAAUGAUUUUUUUUUUUACUGUUUACAUCCAUGGCUAUUGGGUGUUAGGCCCCCUCUUAAAUUCUUUCAUUAGAGCCCCAAAACCUUAAAAAAUUUUCCAUUAUGCAUUACAAAAAAAAAAAGCUCCCUACAUUUGCAAAAAAGCCCCUAAACUCACAAAUGGGCUGCCUAAAUUUGUUGGGCGCCCCCAUGGGUAUAUAUAUGUAUAUUAGGGCGGGUCAUUUUUCAACUUUUCCAGUAAAUGCUUAGUCCAUAUGAUUUUUAAAUGUUUUGGCCCUUAUAUAAAAGUAAUCCAAAAAAAAUAAAAAAUUUUUAUUUUCAGGUUUUCAAAUUUUGACCUAAAAAAUUGAGGUUUUGGGUAAAAAACGCUAUAUACGCGGUUCGCUGCAACUUUUGACCGGUUGCUCCAAUUGACUUAAAAACAUCUUUUAUGGAAUCCUCGAUCCCAAAUACCCUUAAUUAGACACCUAAAAAGUCAUUUUAGCUUAAAAACUUAUAGUUAUAAAAGUUAAAAAAAAUCAUUAUUUUUGAUAUAUUUUGCUGGAAUAUCUUGCAGAGUUACAAUAUGAUGUUUUGGUUAAACUUGAAUUUAUUUAGUAGAUUAUAUGAAAAAACUUAUAAAAUAUCAUUCAUAAGUUGCUGCAUUUGUAUUGCCGCAUUUUAAAAUGUUGCUUUAGCAUCUGAAUUUGCUGCAUUUUAAAUGCUGCAUUUGAGUUGACACGUUAAAUCUACAAAAAAAAAAAAAAAAAAAAAAAAAAAAAGUAGUAGCCUCCUCGACUGUAGUGGUCCCCUCGGGCCUUGGGGAGGUGAAUAAUUAAAAAAAACAACAAAAAAAACAAAAAAAUAUUGUUUUUAAACUAUUGAUAGCUUUGAGUUCUUUAUCGAUGGCUAAGCGAACACGUAAAAAUAGUCAAAGUUGCAAACUAAGUGUUAUGAUUGGUUUUGCAAGUGAGUGUUUAGAUUCUGAGUUCCCCACAUAAAGAGAUGUUAUAAAAUAUGGUCUGCUUCUAAGAAGAGAUGAAAACUGCAAAGCAAAUGCAAAACUUAAAGAUACAUGCAUAAAGGUUUUCUCUAAAGUGAUAAUACAAUGGUUGAAAGCGAAUCCUGAAAUUCCUAUUGUGACGGACAAAGUGGGUGUUAAUAAAAUAAUAAAAGUAUGGAAAAAAGCUACGGAUAUUAUUAACUACAGGUGUAAACCUGAAAUUAUUUCUAAGUUAAACUCUACUCUGGACAAGCUAUUUGGUAUAGCAAAGUGCAAGUGUGACAUUGUUUCUUGUGAGGAGGCUAGUUGUAAUUUUUGUAAUUUUAAAGCGCAUAUUUCUUGUCAAUGCAAUAAAUAAAACAAAAUUCCUACAAUACAACUUCAGUUUAUGAAAUUUCAAAGAGAAAAAUUUGGAACAAAAAGUAGUAUGCAAAUGGGUGCUUUGGAUUUUAAAGAAACCAAAGUUGAUGAAGCAAUUAAAAUCUAAAAAUUAUAAUGUUGUAAAAGAUGAAGUUCAAUGCAUUUUAUUUGAUGGAAGAAAGGAUGAGACAAAAUGUUUUUUGAUGGGAGAAGAUGGAAAAUUUCACCACAGACUUGUUCAAGAAGACCAUUAUUCGGUUUGUGCAGAGCCAGGUGGUUUAUAUCUGUACCAUUUUACAAAUGAUAAAGAAAAUCGAUCUGAAUGUAAUACCCCAGCAGAGCACAUAACAGAACAUAUAUAUAAAUGGAUUAUUGAACAUUAUUGAACAUGGGGUAGAAUCAGCUCUAGUUGCUGUAGGCUGUGAUUUUACCAAUCCUAAUACAGGUUGGAAUGGAGGUAUCAUUCCUUUUUUAGAAAAAAAACUUAAAACAAAACUUAUUUGGAUAGUUUGCCCUUUGCACACAAAUGAGCUACCCUUGAGGCACUUAAUGUCAAUUAUUGACAGGAAAACAACUUCAAAUAACAAGUUUUCUGACAAUAUUGUUAAAUGAUCUCAUAAUUUCUACUGUGAUUCAAGAUAUAGAUACUGAAAUUAAUUUAUAAGAUAUUGAUGAAGAUAUUUUAAAAACUUUAUUGAGUGAUCAAAAAUAUCUAUACCGAAUAACAAAGGCUAUUGAAAAUAAAAUAAUGCCCAAAAAUUUAAAAGAAAUUCAAGUUGGUCCCCACUAUAACGCAUGCUGGUUGAAUUUGGCAAGUAGACUUUGCAGAAUUUGGUGUUCAGAGCAUGGACUAAAUAAAAACGAUGUUGAGAAUUUAAAACAACUUGUACAGUUUUGUGUUGGUGUAUAUUCUGUAUUAUGGUUUGAAAUUAAAGUAAAACAUAAUUGGACCAAUGGACCAUACCAUAUUAUCAAACAGCUGGAACUUGUUUGAAAAAUGAACUUAAAUAUUCAACAAGCAGUUUUGCCCUAUGUUUGCUCCUCUGCCUGGAAUGCUCAUAGUGAAUCUAUUUUACAAGCACUACUAUGCAAAAAAAAAAAAAUAAAGAGGAGAGGAAAUUUGCAGUGAAUAAAAUACUUUCAAUAAGGAGUUCAAGCUCCCUAGGAAUUACUGCUGUUAGACCAAUAAAUAUUCCAAAUAUAAAUACUAAUGCUUAAACUAUUAUUGAAUUGAUUGAUUGGAGUAAUGAUAUUUACGAACCUUUGCUCACAUGCAAGAUUGGUAAAGAAGAACUUAUUAAGUUUUUAGAAAUCCCAAUGGAAGUUCCAGAAUUACCUGUACAUGGGCAACCCAUAGAAAGAAUUGUAAAAGAAGUUACAAGAGCUUCUAGUAUAGUUUAUGGACAGAAAAGACGAGACAGAUUUAUAAAGGCAACAAUAGCUCACAGAGAACUUCUUCCUGUUUUUGAAUCUAAACAGAAUUUGCUUAAGCUUUUUUAAGCAAUAAGUUUAUAUUUAUUGUAUAUUUAGUAAAAUUAAGUUUACUCUUGCAUUGUGAAUGAUAAAUUGGUAAAUACUGCUAUAAACAAUAAUUAAUGAUUUUUCAUGUUUCUAAUUGGCUGUGCCUCGCGUUGUGGUUGAGAAAUCCUUUGAAACUGUUUUGCUGCCUUACAUUCACAUAACAUUGUUAUGGGAGAUAUUCCAGCAAACUAUAUCAAAAAUAACAAUUUUUUUCAGCUUUUAUAAUUAUAAGUUUUUAAGCUAAAAUGAUUAUCUAGGUGUCUAAUUAAGGGUAUUUGGGAUCGAGGAUUCCAUAAAAGAUAUUUUUGAGUCAAUCGGAGCAACCGGUCAAAAGUUGUG